UAUAUAUAUCUAUUUUCUUUCCUAAAUUUCAAGAGUUUCUUUAAUUCCCAUUAUUUCUUCAUCGUCUUUGUCGUCUUCAUCUUCUUCGAUUCUCUUCUGGCUCAGGUGGGUUUUUCCUUUGAAUCAAAGGGUUUUUCAGAACGGGGAAAUCUUUGGGGGGCUCGGAGGCGGAUUCAAUUAUGGCGUCCCCAAGAUCAGGAGUUUCCGGAUCAACUGAUUCAGUAACAGCUGCGAGAAGACAGACCAAGCGACCCAAGUUGUAGUUUCUGAUAUCUGAUCAUAUGUCUUGCUUUAUUAACCUUAAUUUUUGUGAUUAAAUUAUGAUUUUUUGAUGCUGGUCUCGUGUAUAUCCCUUGAAAUGCGUGAUUGGAUUCUUGGAAAGAGGAAGGUCGCUAGUUUUCACCUUGGUUUUUGGAGAGUUGAUAGUAUCUUGAUCUUCAAAUGACGGCAUCGUGCAAGCCAAUUCUUGCACGAGAAGGUCAGGUUGUUGAUAGGUAUAUAUGGGUCUACAUCGCUAUCAAGUAAUUACAUUGACAAGGUAGCUUUCAUCCAAAUUAAAGCUUUGCAUAUAAUUAAAGCUUUAAUUUGUUGAUAGAAAUUUCUCUUUAUAAUUGUCUGAUUAUGUUCAUAUCGUUUAUUAUGUUCUCGUGAAUAUGUUGUUCACACUAUAAUGUUUUAUUCCUUUAGAUAAGGUGGAAAAACAGAAGUCGCCUAUUUAUAUUUAUUACCAGGUGGACAACUUCUACCAGAAUAAUCGACAGUAUGUAUUUGAGCUACCUUGGCGGCUUAUCUUCAUGGGGGGCACAUAUCUACACACACAAACACACACACACACACAAAAGAACAAAUUUGAUCAAGUUUGUUUGCCCAUGUUAUUUUCUUUUCAAACCCAUGUCUCUGUGUUUUUUGUGUUCAAUUUUUUUCCCUUGUUGAUUUACCUGUGAACGCAACAGUGGCACUGUUUCUUGCCUCUUUGAGUUUUUGGGGAGAGGAAAAGUGAAAGUGGGGUAUUGUAAAA